rnacentral:snRNA from 1 species
AUUGCUUCUUGGCCUUUUGGCUGAGAUCAAGUGUAGUAUCUGUUCUUAUCAGUUUAAUAUCUGAUACGUCCUCUAUCCAAGGACAAUAUAUUAAGUGGAUUUUGGAAUUAGGAGAUGGAAUAGGAGUGUACUUCGUCUGCUCCAAACAUUGACCUGGUAUUGCAGUUCUUCCAGGAAUGGUGCACCUCCU